rnacentral:rRNA from 1 species
UACGUAGGGUGCAAGCGUUGUCCGGAAUUAUUGGGCGUAAAGAGCUCGUAGGCGGUUUGUCGCGUUUGCUGUGAAAACUCGGGGCUUAACUCCGGGCCUGCAGUGGGUACGGGCAGACUAGAGUGCGGUAGGGGAGACUGGAAUUCCUGGUGUAGCGGUGAAAUGCGCAGAUAUCAGGAGGAACACCGGUGGCGAAGGCGGGUCUCUGGGCUGAUACUGACGCUGAGGAGCGAAAGCAUGGGUAGCGAACAGG